UUCCGCUGUGUAUCGAUUUGAUCUUCCUCUCUCCUAGAGCCGUCUCUACUCUAAUCCCUCACACGCGAGUCAAAAUUCACCUCAAUACCCAAAAAUCAGUACAAAAAAGAGCAACUCAAAGAGUCGCAGAACAUAGUAGAGAGUCAAAAUCCACCUCACAAAGAACUGUGUUGACGACCAUAACUUCCAAAACAGAUCUGACCUAGAAGUUGGUUUUCUCAGACGAGCACAAAGCCACAAUCUUUGCUGCAGAUCCAAGCUCAGAACCAAGCACUAGGAAAUGAUGAUUGACUAUGUUUUUGUCCCUGUGGCUUCCAUUUUUGGCCUUGAAGAGGAUUAUAAAUACUUGACGAGAUCAAUCAUGGAAUUUUCGACAGAUCAAGUCGCAUAUAUGUGAUCGACACAAAAACAUAUCCAGAAGCUCCCUCUCUGCAUAAAGUUGUUGACCCUGAAGACAUCGUACAGAAGAUUGGAUUGGCAUACCCACACACAUCUCACUGCCUUGCAUCUGGUGAUUUCUUCUCCUUGACUCAGAGUUUAAUGUCAAGGGAAGGUAAUGGCCUCUGUUCCAGUUGUCUACUACUCUAUCUUCGUUGGUCGGUUAUUUGUUUUUAUUGGUUGGUUGUUGGUUUGUCUAAAGAAAAGGGGUACAAUUUAUGAAAUAAUAAAGAAUGAAGCUUUUGAACUUAGAUUUCUUAGUUUAGUUUGAUUGGGCUGUAGAGAAGAAUAAAGGUUCGCAAUUAUCAACUGUUAACGUUAAUAUUUCUUUUCUUUUUUCCUCUGAAACUUUUUUUAGGCUAUAACUAAUUUCCCAAAGUUUGACAUAAAGCAAGAGUGGCAUAUUUAAAUGAAUAGCUAUAAUACUGAUAAGCUUGCCUUUGUUGAGAUUGUGAUUUGUAAACGCGUGUACUCUCAAGCAAUCACUUUGAUUUCUAUGGCUAUUAGAUCACUAAUCUGUUUAUCGCCAAAGACAUGGGGGAAAAAAGGGAGCAAGUGACCAUGGACCUGUAGGCUUUUAAGCACAUGGAGACCUUGCUCCCAUAUAUCAAAUUCUCAGCGCAAUGAUGGAAAUGGAAACCAAUAAAAGAAAAUGGAACAUUUGGUGAGUUGGUUCUCAAGCUAUAUUAAGCUCUUUUUUGAAUCAGUUUGUGGAGAGGUUUAUCGUCUGAGGCUGCUGGGAGACUAUCACCUCUUUUAUCGAAAAUGUCCAAGAUAACUAUAUUUGUUUAUCAAGUCAUUGUAUCUGAUGAACUUUGGCUUGGCCUUGACACCCACUACCACAGUUUGGAAUGAGAUCCAGAAGUCAUCAUUGUCAUCUGUUUGACUUGGAGAAUGGUAGUAUAUAUGAGCAACAUUGGCUAUUCUCAGUUGUUCCAGACCCCCUUCAAAUUGGCCUACUAAUUUAUGUCUGGCUGUAUCCUUUGAAUCCAUUAGAUACGUCAAAAUGCAUAAUUAAGGAACAAUCAGCAGGAACGUAGUAAGAGCAACAUUGGCUAUUCUCAGUUGUUCCAGACCCCCUUCAAAUUGGCCUACUAAUUGAUGUCCGGCUGUAUCCUUUGAAUCCAUUAGAUACGUCAAAAUGCAUGGUUAAGGAACAAUCGGCAGGAACAAUAUUUUGGGGCUGUGGUGUGGUUUGAAGAAGUAACCCUAUUACAGGGAGGAGAUAACCCUUUGAUUUGUGUAUAACGUGGCUCAACUCCUUUAUGCUGGUUUUAGAAUUUAGAUUUUUCAAGUAAAGCUAGCUUAUGUGGUUAGUUAAUUCUCUGAGCAGAGUCUCUUAAAUAGGCCUCAUCAAAAAGCCCAUUGGUUACACAAUUUUAAGUUUGUAUUUUUUAAUUCCUUGAGCAGCCAUUAGAUACGUCAAAAUGCAUGGUUAAGGAACAAUCGGCAGGAACAAUAUUUUGGGGCUGUGGUGUGGUUUGAAGAAGUAACCCUAUUACAGGGAGGAGAUAACCCUUUGAUUUGUGUAUAACGUGGCUCAACUCCUUCAUGCUGGUUUUAGAAUUUAGAUUUUUCAAGUAAAGCUAGCUUAUGUGGUUAGUUAA